UGUCCAGUAGCUCCUUAGAGACCAACUAAAUUUGUUCUUGGUAUGAGCUUUCGUGUAUCUGAAGAAGUGUGCAUACCACAAACAAACUUAGUUGGUCUCUAAGGUGCUACUGGACA